UACGUAGGUGGCAAGCGUUGUCCGGAUUUAUUGGGUUUAAAGGGUGCGUAGGCGGCUUUGUAAGUCAGUGGUGAAAUACUCCAGCUUAACUGGAGGGGUGCCAUUGAUACUGCGGAGCUUGAGUACAGAUGAGGUAGGCGGAAUUGACGGUGUAGCGGUGAAAUGCAUAGAUAUCGUCAAGAACACCGAUAGCGAAGGCAGCUUACUGGGCUGUAACUGACGCUGAUGCACGAAAGUGUGGGGAUCAAAACAGGA
rnacentral:rRNA from 1 species